GCGUUGCUCGGAAUGACUGGGCGUAAAGGGCGCGUAGGCGGUUUGCUCAGUUAGGCGUGAAAUUCCUGGGCUCAACCUGGGGACUGCGUUUAAUACAGGCAGACUUGAGUGUGGAAGAGGGUUGUGGAAUUCCCAGUGUAGAGGUGAAAUUCGUAGAUAUUGGGAAGAACACCGGUGGCGAAGGCGGCAACCUGGUCCAUUACUGACGCUGAGGCGCGAAAGCGUG
rnacentral:rRNA from 1 species